rnacentral:rRNA from 1 species
UACAGAGGUGGCAAGCGUUGUUCGGAAUUACUGGGCGUAAAGGGCGCGUAGGCGGCCUGUUAAGUCGAACGUGAAAUCCCCGGGCUCAACCCGGGAACUGCGUCCGAAACUGGCAGGCUCGAAUUCGGGAGAGGGAUGCGGAAUUCCAGGUGUAGCGGUGAAAUGCGUAGAUAUCUGGAGGAACAUCGGUGGCGAAGGCGGCAUCCUGGACCGAUAUUGACGCUGAGGCGCGAAAGCCAGGGGAGCAAACGGG